UUAAAGAUGCAAAAUUUAGUUUUGACAAAAAAAAAGUCACAAAAAAAAAAACUUCUCUCUCGAGACAAAUUUCACUUCUUAUCUUCUCCAAUGUAUAUCUCCCUCUCACUUUCUCCAGAUCUUACUUCUCUUCUUCAACAAUUCUCACUUCUCCUCUUCUUUCAAAAAUCGUUUUGGGGUAUUGUGUUCUCUCUGUGUUUCAAUAAAUCUAGGGUUUCUCAUUCCCUUUCUUUCCUAGGGUCUGAGACACGAGAGACAGAAGAGAAGAGAGACAAGACAAAACGGAGAUAGAGAGGAGAGAGAGCUCCGGUCGUGUCUUGCUUCGUCUCCGAUAACCAGAGCUUGGGUUGGGUGGGGUCUUGCUUUGUCUCCGCCGUUUUUUCCUCAGCUUCAUAGAUCCGCCGUGUUCAAGUUCCGUCGCUGCUUGUGCCUUUUUCAGCACUCGUCUCAAGAGAAGAGUUUGAGUCAAGCGAUAAGAGAAGGCAGAAGAUGGAGACAAGGGAAGAGACAACCUGCCACUCGAGCUGGCAAUCUAAGAUACAGAAGAGAUGGAGACGGGGAGAAGAAGAAGAGCCAGAGAAAACAGAGGUGGAGUUUCAGAUUCAAGACGAGAGAAAACACAAGAGCAAGGAAGAAGAAGAUGAGAACGAAAAAGCGGCUGUAGGCAAGGAACUCAAGUAAUUGGAGAAUCUAGAGGCGUGUGUCUGCGAGAAGUUAUGAAUAUACACAAGAUCUUGAUUCUUAUGAGGAAGCUUUGUUGAUUUCUCAAGACCUGUUCGUUCAAUUGCUUUAAAGAAUCAGCUUUAUGCUGCUGUUGGUUCUCUGUUACUAACUACCAUCUUCUUCUUCUCUAGUAAGUAGUGGUCAUCUCAUUCUUCUUUGGAUAUAUUAAUCUUCAAUAGUCUUCUUGCCUUUUUGUUUGCGGUUUAGUAGUGUUUGAUUUUUUUCUGCAGUUAAUGAAGUGAAACAUAAAGUAGAAGAAGAAAAAGACAAACAUGGAGAUGAUGUUGAACUGAAUCUACUCUACAUUGUACAUUCUGACAUCUCAUCUCUUCUUCACCAGGUCCUUGCUUACUUCCUGCUCUUGUCCACACAAACCAUAAGAAUGCCUGCUUCUGGUGGAAUGGCGUGUGAAGAAGUCGGCGAGGAAGUACCUUUUAUUCUAUGAGCAGCAGCAAAGUCAGAAACUUCAAAGUGAUGGCUCUCCAAUCUGAUAACAUCACGAUCAAUAGAGUUGAGAGUCUUCUCAAAAGACACCAAACCUUUUACUGACCGGAUCACCGCUGAGUACAUCUGCUAUGGACGAGCACCUGGAGAAGAUACUGAAGUGAUUCUCUAGUAAGACUUUUCUUAAGUGUUGGUACUAAAUGAAGCUGAGAAGCUCUCACGAGAAGCACACUUGCCGUCUCAUCUUAUGCUGUAACAGUUCUGACAGUCCCUCAGCAAGAUGACCGAGUCUUCUCUCGUUUUCGUUUAGUAACAAGUUUAGUUUCUGAAUCUUUAAAUUUCAGCUAACACUAUUUUUGUGUCUGAAUUUGCAGGCAGAUGCAUACACCAAUGAAGUUUAUAUAUUGCGGCAUGAUCUCAGCAAUUGUAGGCGGUUUAAUACGUAUAACGCUUAUACAACCGUAGAAGAGAAAGCUCUAACUGCAUAAAACCUUAAGGUUUUUGGAACACCAACUCCGGAGAUUAUUAAGGUGCAUCCCCCUACGCUCUGUGUGAGAUACAUGCUAAGGCCAAGAAGAAAAUAGGAGCAAGGUUUUGAUUUAGUUCCCAUGUUUUCUAGUCCCUUUAUAUUUAGUUCUGAUUUUAUAAUGAUGUUUGUGUAAGAUUUGAUGAAAAUGUAGACGUGUUUGUGGUAUUGAUGUAAGUACAUUUUGUUUUAUUAAUGAAAUAUAAAUUGAAUAUUAUUUUAUUUAAAUAUAAUUAGCAACAAAACAUAUUUCUAUGAACAAGCUCUAAUAGCACAUAAUCGAUAAUAAAUAUAGCAUUGAUACAUCACUAUAACAAAACAUAUGAUAACGUUCAAAACAAAAGCUAUCAUAAAGUUUGACUAAUCAUAGCAAACUAAAAACAAUGCUAUUAUAUGUCUCCGAUAUAAUAGCAUUGUAAAAAAUGAUAUAAUAUAGGAGAGACCUAAGAUAGCUGGGGCAGACAUAGCGGGUUCAAUAACGCUAACAAUAGCAUAUGAUAGUUGUUUUCUUACGCUAAGAAUUGACAUUUUUUUGUAGUGUAUGGAUGUGCAGUAUUUUCUCACAAUUGUCAUUGAUGGAGAGCCUUUUCUACUUCACAAGGUGUUCGACGAGAUUCAGUACACGGUUUCUGAAAAGAAAAAAAAAUGAAUAACUGCUAUUACCAGAACGAGAUCGAGACCGAGAGUGGGAUUGUUUCAACGUGCCACAGCGCAUCACUUAAAGUGGGUCAGAUCAGAGAUGCGUAUUUGGCAGAACACAUCAGACCCGUUCCGGAGUCUGUACAAGAUUACGGCCUUGAUAGAGAUUUUGUUUGAUUACGUGCAUGUCGCGGAUGAUGGGAUCUACAGAUCCAUUGAUAUGUUUCUUAAGGCACACAGAACUUUUUCACAAGAAGCAUGCAACAGACUCCGUGUUUUAAAGGAGCAUGCCAUGGACAUUCAUGCCCAUCUUUUCUAAACCAGCUAGCAGGUAGCAAACAUUAUGACAAUAUACCAGGCCCGGGCUUGACCAAAACGUACGAUACAAACGUAUGGGGCCUAUUAUUUUUCUCAAAAUUUUAGGACCUAUUUUCUUCAAUGUCAUUACUUAUAAUUAUAUCAAUUUGAUAAUUUGUUAUGUGUAUAUAAAUGAUAGGAAAAGAAAGUUGUGGGACAUCACUAUAAU